rnacentral:rRNA from 1 species
GAAGCGGGGGAUAACACCUGGAAACAGAUGCUAAUACCGCAUAACAACUUGGACCGCAUGGUCCGAGCUUGAAAGAUGGCUUCGGCUAUCACUUUUGGAUGGUCCCGCGGCGUAUUAGCUAGAUGGUGGGGUAACGGCUCACCAUGGCAAUGAUACGUAGCCGACCUGAGAGGGUAAUCGGCCACAUUGGGACUGAGACACGGCCCAAACUCCUACGGGAGGCAGCAGUAGGGAAUCUUCCACAAUGGACGAAAGUCUGAUGGAGCAACGCCGCGUGAGUGAAGAAGGGUUUCGGCUCGUAAAACUCUGUUGUUAAAGAAGAACAUAUCUGAGAGUAACUGUUCAGGUAUUGACGGUAUUUAACCAGAAAGCCACGGCUAACUACGUGCCAGCAGCCGCGGUAAUACGUAGG